GCAAUAAGGUCUUUUUACUGUUAGAUCAGUUAGGUAGGCUUAGUUGAGUGGUUAGUGUUAGUAGUUGGUAUCUUUGGUCAUAACAGAAUAUAAGUGAAUUCAGGAAGAGUUCCUAGCUUCUUGAAUGCUAGUAAACUUAAGUAUGCUCCAUGAUCAAAACUUUAAACUAUAGACAAUGUCCUUUUGCAGACCUCAUAUAUUACAAAAGAAAAUGAGAGCAUCCCAUGAGUAAACAUGAAGAUUGAGCUAUGAGGCCUAGAUCAACACAGUUUUUUAGGGAUGUACAGGAAUCAUCAUAAGCAUUAAUAAGAAUUCAGUAUCCAGAUAUAAUUCCACAGUUUGUAUUAUAUGAUAAACAAAAUGAACGCACCUUACAACUCUUCUUGCUAUUACUCUCUUGUAUCUUUCUCUUUGGCCUCCCAUUAACGUAGGGAGAUACAAGACUCUCCAUAUAGAUAGGGGCACAAAUAUAUUCCUUAGUCUUGUAGAACAGCAUAUCACGACACAAAGUUCUCUUGUUAGGAACGUAAUGUUCCUGCUCUUUCAAGCAUUGUAACGCUAAGUUCAUAUCACAGUCCUUUUCAAACAUUUCCCAAGACAGGUUUCCAUUGUAGUUCUUCAGCAUCCAUAAGUUAUCAUUAAACCCAUCACAAGGAGAUACGCAUAAACAAUCUUCGAUAACACCUAAAUUCAUAUUUGGGCAGCUAGCAACACCAGAUUCAUAUCGCUCAUCAUCAGGUUCGGAAAUUUUGAUAAAUUUUUCUUCAGAUAGCUGAAACGAAGCAAUGACUCUCUUCUUAUUUGGAGAUGAAGAAUCUUUCAUAAUCCAAUGAAGUGCCCCAUUGCAUAAGAUACCAAUCCUACUAUGAAAUGAAUACUUUACAUCUCCAAUUAGUUUCCAAACAUUUGAUUUCAAACUUAACACUUGAAAACACGUCCAACCAACACGUUUACGGAACCCUAAUACAACCUUGUAAUCAUCCGUAGAUGAAUCAUAGCCAAAACCCCAACAUAAAUGCUUGGUAUCAAGAAUUUGAGGCUCUUGUAGUGUUUGAACCUCUCUAGUUGAGGGAUUAGCUACUACAAGUUGAGAAGCAAAAGAAGAGAUGCAUACAAGUCCAUUGGAAGAACCAAGAAGAUGACAAUCACGAUCAUCAAAUAAUCUGUCAUCAACAUCACAAACACGCGACCCGUUGCGAUAAGAGACCCUUGACAUAACAAUCCUCCUAUCUAUAUCAUUGUUUUUGUAAUCAAUUUGGUAACUAUAGUUCAUAUGGAAUUUAGUGAAACCAGAGUCAGAGAUCAAAAUUUCCCAAGACUUACAUACACUUUUGCAUCGGAUUAGAUCCCUCACAUUCAAUCUUUUCAGUAUAUGCGGAAGGACAUCAUCGUGAAGCUCUGCCAUCGGAACCGUAGAGUCGGCAAUCCGAUAGGAAAGAAAGGGGGGGGGGGUACCCACACGAUAGUGAUAAAUUUAUUUCUAUGGGGUAUUUAUUAGGGAUUUUAGUUAUCAACACUCAUAAAUGCGAAACAUGAUACGAAGAUAUUAUUACCAUGAUAUUUUACCAUAGAGUGAAAUUCAUUUACUGAAAUGACUUUUACAAACCUACCAUAUAUGAUUAGUAUAUCAAUAUCGAUAAGAUCACUAAUGCCAUCAAGACAUCAUGAUCUUCGAUAAUUGCUUUGCUACACCAACUGAAAUCAGUGUUAAUAACAUACCUUCUUUCUCAAGUAUUUCUUUUAAAAUGACAUUGUAACCCUCUGACCUUGGCAACCCAAUCUUAAAAUUUAUUGUCAUGUCCACCCACACAUUUUUUUUGGUAAUUCUAAGGGUUGCAACAAUCCUCUCGAUGCCAUUGUGAAAUAUUUAUGGUGUUGACACACGUCACACUCCGCCAUCAUUCUUGCUAUGCCUUUACACAUACCCUCCUAGUAUACAUCCUUUACCAUCUUUUGGUAAGUUUUUUUGUACUCCUGAAUGUCCCGCAAUUGCACUCGCACGUCACUCAUGAAAUAGACAAGGAACUCAAGAUGAUGAUCGAGGCAGCACUAAACAACUUUGAUAAAGGAUUCAGUCACCUUCAUCACUAAGCCUCGGUGGUGCGGAAGUCCCUUCUCGAACUUGCUGCCUUAUUAUCCAAAAUUCAUGAGCCCAGGACAGCUCUCACAAAACCUCAUUCCAUUAGACUAUCCAAAACCUCAUUCCAUUAGACUAUCCAAAACCUCAUUCCAUUAGACUAUCCAUGGUACUGAAAGGGUACCGAAGGAUGUUGAUGUCCCCUUUCAUGAAUGUACAUCAGUCGUGUUUUUUUUUGGUCCUAUAUUAAAUUUCAAUAUUAUAUCCUAAUAGUUUGGACAUCCAAUUUUGAUGUUCCUCAAUAAUGAUUUGUUGUUGUAAGUAAACAUUUAAAUCUUCGUUGGUUUGGCUGAACUAUGAAACACUUUCACACGAAGUAUGGAUGCCACUUUUGAAUGGCGAAUACUAUCGCUAUUAGUUCUCUUUCAUCAACUGGCUUGUACCGAGAACCGGUACCAAGGACCUAACUGUAUUAGGCCUUAGGCCACUGGUAUUCCUCCUUGCAUGAGGACUGCCCCCAACCCAAGGCAUGAUGCAUCGGUUUCCAUAAUGAAUUCCUUGGGUAAAAUACAGUAUUACCAAGACCGGUAUUUAUAUCAUUGUUGUUUGGUCACUACUAGAAAAAAGGCUUUUCUUGACAGACGAGUAGAUAAAAAGCAUAUAUAAAAGAACACCUUUAGAAGAGUAGAUAAAAAGCGACAGAUCUGUUUUAGAGCCUUGAAAGCCGAGAGCAUGAAGAGCAGUAGACAACCGUUGGAACCAAGCUCGGGGAGCUUGCUUAAGUCCAUACAAAGACUUAAGAAGAACACAAACAUGAUUGGGUUUCGUUGGAUCAACGAAACCCGGUGGUCGUUUUAAAUAGACCGUCUCGGUGAGAUUUCCAUGUAAAAAUGCAUUCUGAACAUCAAGUUGUCGUAAAGGCCAAUUAUGUGUCACCGCCAAAGAUAGAACAACCCGAAUAGUAGUCGAUUUUACAACUGGACUGAAAGUCUCAUGAUAGUCAAGACCCUGUUGUUGAUAAAACCUUUAGCAACCAAACGUGCUUUGUAGCGCACAAUAUCCCCGGUAUGAUCGCGCUUGAGUUUGUAAACCCAUUUACAUUCAACGACAUUCAUAUUUGAGACACGAGGAACUAAGGACCAAGUAUUGUUCCGUAGAAGAGCAGAAUACUCUUCUGCCAUGGCCUGACGCCAUUGAGGCAAUUUGUUAGCAAUAGUAAAGGUUGUGGGUUCAGUGUCAGGAGAGGAAGUAUGAGUGUGAUACGAGGUGGGAUCAUAUGGUUUGGUAGGCUUAGGAUUAGGACGUAGGUUGGAGGGUCGAACGCAUGGUUGAGAUUGGGUAGCUUCUGGUUGGGGAAUGGCAGUUUGAGGGAGAGAGGUGUCAAGUUGAGAUGUGGUGGUUCGCGGGCGUCGGUGAUAAGUAUGGACGAGAGGGGGACAUUGUUGAGAUUUACAGGAAGGAGGAGAUGUAGAAGAUAUAGGAGAUGUAGGUGGAGUAGUAGGUAAUAUGGGUGGUGGUGUAGUGGGUAUAUUUGAAGGAUCAGGAGUAGGAUAGGACGAUGUAUAUGGGUUAGAAGAAGAAGGUUCGGGUGGAGUUGGGGGGUUGAUGUUGUAUGGAAAGGAUCGUUGAUGAAACCAAAAAUGACGAACUAUAUAAAGUCGUUCAGAGAAAGGAUCAAAGCAUCGGUAACCAUGAUGGGAUGUGCUAUAUCCAAGAAACACACAUGGGAGAGAGCGAAAAUCCAUUUUAUGGUUGUUGUAUGGACGAAGGUGCGGAAAGCAUUGACAACCGAACACACUAAGAAAUAAAAAAUCAGGUUUGUGUUUGAAAAGAUGUUCAAAAGGUGAGAUGUUUUUGUUUGUACGGGAAGGCAUGCGAUUUAUAAGAUAAACAAUUGUGUCAAAAGCAAAAUGCCAAAAACGUUGUGGAACAGAGGAUUAGGCAAAAAGAGUAAGACCGGUUUCCACAACAUGACGGUGACGAUGUUCUACAAGAGCAUUUUGUUCACUUGUAUGAGGACAAGAUAGGCGAUGGGUGAUACCGAGAGAUGAGAAAAAUUGUGAAAGAUUUCGAAAUUCACUGCCUCAUUCAGUUUGAACUGAUUUUAACUUAGUUUGGAACUGCCAUUCAACAGUAAGAAUAAAUUGUUUGAAAGUAUUAUAGACAUCAGAUUUGGCUUUUAAAGGAAAAAACCACAUAAAGCGGGAAAAAUGAUCAACACACAAUAAAAAAUAUCGAUGCCCAUCAAAUGAGGUAACAGGAGCAGGUACCCAAACAUCAUAGAAAAGUAAGUCUAAAAUAUGAGAGCUUUUAAGCAUAACCUUUUUUCCCUUUUAGCAGCAAGUUCAACAUUCGUAAGUCUUUCGAAUGUCCAUGGCUAUGCCCCAUGCCUCCUCCAACAUUCCUAUCGUAGGUUUCCAUAGCUCCUUGGGUUUGCAUAGGCAUCAUAUUGCUUCCAAAAUCCAUUGGUGUUGCUGAUGAUCGGAAUAGCCCACACCCCGAUCGUUCCCUCUCUCAUUGACACGGUUCUCAUUACCGCCAAUCCCAUUGUGUGGGUCAAGCCCUAGGGUUGUAUGACCCUCACCAACUAUCUAGGUUCCGAUUUUAGCUGCUUGAUGGAAGUUCUUUCCCAAAAUUUAUAAUAUAAUCCUAUAAUAGUGGAACGUCCCCUCCUUUCGGAAACGAUCAAGGAGACACCGUGUCAGUCCUCUUCAUAUGGAAACAUAUCGAAACAGUGACGUUUAGACAAUAAAAAGACAAAUCUCCCUAUUAAUUAAUAACCCUGUUUCUGGUGACGCUUAUAGACUUGUCCAAAUUUGCAAGAUGAAUCAGAUUAAUGAAGCUAACACUCGAAACGACGAACCAGACAGCCUCCUGAUGAGUGAUUAUGACUCGGGUAAUGAAAUGGAAGAUGUCAGAGUAAAGAUGACUAUGGCAUAAAAUUCUGAUCCAAAUUCAUACGAUGAGGUUUUUAAAAGGAAGAAUUGAACAAGUGUUGUGAUGGAUGCAUGAGAUCAAGUCGACUAAGAAGACCACUAAUGGAGCUUAGUUGGGCUGCCAAAAUGAGCUAAAACUAGUGAAUCCAUAAGACCAAGCUGAUGCAUAAGGCCUUAUUAGUAGCAAAAAAAAGAGACUCAUAGAGGUAUGGAGUUGAUUAUUUAGAAGUUUAUGUACCUCGUAUGGAAACAGUAAGGAACUACUAUGGCAUUGGAUUCUCAAAAAAGGUGGACCACUACCAGCUACAAGUCAAAUCUCUGUUUCUAGAUGGAAAGCUGAAUGAAGAUGUGUACCAAAGCAAACACAAGGGUUCGAAGUAAAGGCUUCAGAGACGAAAGUGUACAAAGAACAUAAAGUUCUCUAUUGGUUCAAACAAGCACACAUGCAUGGUUCAAUCAACAGCCAUUAUACCAACAGGACUCAAUGCUCAAACUCAAAUUUUGAACAUAUAUGAUAUCGUAAGGUCAGGAUGAUGACUGUAAAUACUAAAAGGGAAGAAUAUCCAUGAUCCAUCACAUUCUCUAACAAAACUCGCCACUUCAAAUUUAAUCAGUUAGCCGCUAUAUAUAUAACUACAUAUUCCAGGUAAAGAUGGGUUUGAUUAUUAUAAUUUUUACGAUGCAAUUCAAAGAACUUAAAAUGCAACAUAUUCCAAUCCGAAACAUAUAUGGAUUUACCUGAGUUAUUGACGGAUUUGCAGAGGUAGAAUAAAACCGUCCAAACCUGGAUCACACGUUGAUGGAAUGAAAGGGGUGUUUGGAUGUGCAUGCUCAGACCACACAAACAUACUGAGUGAGGGAACUCCUUUCAUGCGGCAAUGAAUUCAAUAAACAAAUAAGUGCCUCCAACUGCUCCCUAGGCGUUAAUAACCAUCUUUGAAUCAGAUAAGGAUGGCUCAAACACCAAUGGCGUAUGAGCUAUGCUCACACAUUAAACAGAGAAGAAAAAAGUACAGCCGAAUAUGAAGAGACGAUUAGGAAGAACUUUAGGCAGGAUUACGAAGAAACACUAGGAAUUUUAUUAUUAAAAAGGUAUCAUCUUAUAUACAGCUAUACACAGCUCAACAGCUGUAAGCUAGAGCUCCAGUAAUGCGUAUCCAAAGUAAGUUGGUGCAGAUUUUCAUCAAACACUUGUACUGCAGUUCAAUGGCACCCAUAGCAUAGAGCAUCUGGUCCUCUUCUUCAUCUUAUUUUCCCAUUAGGCUAUUUAUAGGACCCGUUAGGGUAACAAUUGACCCCUGCAAACUUGGCAUCGCAGUUUAAGCAUAACCUUUUUUCCCUUUUAGCAGCAAGUUCAACAUUCGUAAGUCUUUCGAAUGUCCAUGGCUAUGCCCCAUGCCUCCUCCAACAUUCCUAUCGUAGCCAUUGUGAAAUAUUUAUGGUGUUGACACACGUCACACUCCGCCAUCAUUCUUGCUAUGCCUUUACACAUACCCUCCCAGUAUACUUCCUUUGCCAUUUUUUGGUAAGUUUUUGUACUCCUGAAAUGUCCCGCAAUUGCACUCGCACGUCACUCAUGAAAUAGACAAGGAACUCAAGAUGAUGAUCGAGGCAGCACUAAACAACUUUGAUAAAGGAUUCAGUCACCUUCAUCACUAAGCCUCGGUGGUGCGAAAGUCCCUUCUCGAACUUGCUGCCUUAUUAUCCAAAAUUCUUGAGCCCAGGACAUCUCUCACAAAACCUCAUUCCAUUAGACUAUCCAAAACCCCAUUCCAUUAGACUAUCCAUGGUACUGAAAGGGUACCGAAGGUUGACAAUGUCCCCUUUCAUGAAUGUAUAUCAGUUGUGUUUUUUUUUGGGCCUAUACUAAAUUUCAAAAUUAUAUCCUAAUAGUUUGGACAUCCAAUUUUGAUGUUCCUCAGUAAUGAUUUGUUGUUGUAAGUAAACAUUUAAAUCUUCGUUGGUUUGCCUGAACUAUGAAACACUUUCACACGAAGUAUGGAUGCCACUUUUGAAUGGCGAAUACUAUCGCUGUUAGUUCUGUUUCAUCAAGUGGCUUGUGCCAAGAACCGGUACCAAGGACCUAACUGUAUUAGGCCUUAGGCCACUGGUAUUCCUCCUUGCAUGAGAACUGCCCCCAACCCAAGGCAUGAUGCAUCGGUUUCCAUAAUGAAUUCCUUGGGUAAAAUACAGUAUUACCAACACCGGUAUUUAUAUCAUUGUUGUUUGGUCAUUACUAGGAAAAAGGCUUUUCUUGACAGACGAGUAGAUAAAAAGCAUAUAUAAAAGAACACCUUUAGAAGAGUAGAUAAAAAGCGUCGGAUCUGUUUUAGAGCCUUGAAAGCCGAGAGCAUGAAGAGCAGUAGACAACCGUUGGAACCAAGCUCAUGGAGCUUGCUUAAGUCCAUACAAAGACUUAAGAAGAACAAAAACAUGAUUGGGUCUCGUUGGAUCAACGAAACCCGGUGGUUGUUGUAAAUAGACCGUCUCAGUGAGAUUUCCAUGUAAAAAUGCAUUCUGAACAUCAAGUUGUCGUAAAGGCCAAUUAUGUGUCACCGCCAAAGAUAGAACAACCCGAAUAGUAGUCGAUUUUACAACUGGACUGAAAGUCUCAUGAUAGUCAAGACCCUGUUGUUGAUAAAACCUUUAGCAACCAAACGUGCUUUGUAGCGCACAAUAGCCCCGGUAUGAUCGCGCUUGAGUUUGUAAACCCAUUUACAUUCAACGACAUUCAUAUUUGAGACACGAGGAACUAAGGACCAAGUAUUGUUCCGUAGAAGAGCAGAAUACUCUUCUGCCAUGGCCUGACGCCAUUGAGGCAAUUUGUUAGCAAUAGUAAAGGUUGUGGGUUCAGUGUCAGGAGAGGAAGUAUGAGUGUGAUACGAGGUGGGAUCAUAUGGUUUGGUAGGCUUAGGAUUAGGAUGAUGGUUGGAGGAUCGAACGCGUGGUUGAAAUUGGGUAGCUUCUGGUUGGGGAAUGGCAGUUUGAGGGAGAGAGGUGUCAAGUUGAGAUGUGGUGGUUUGCGGGCGUCAGUGAUAAGUAUGGAGGAGAGGGGGACAUUGUGGAGAUUUACAGGAAGGAGGAGAUGUAGAAGAUAUAGGAGAUAUAGGUGGAGUAGUAGGUAAUAUGGGUGGUGGUGUAGUGGGUAUAUUUGAAGGAUCAGGAGUAGGAUAGGACGAUGUAUAUGGGUUAGAAGAAGAAGGUUCGGGUGGAGUUGGCGGGUUGAUGUUGUAUGGAAAGUUUCGUUGAUGAAACCAAAAAUGACGAACUAUAUAAAGUCGUUCAGAGAAAGGAUCAAAGCAUCGGUAACCAUGAUGGGAUGUGCUAUAUACAAGAAACACACAUGGGAGAGAGCGAAAAUCCAUUUUAUGGUUGUUGUAUGGACGAAGGUGCGGAAAGCAUUGACAACCGAACACACUAAGAAAUGAAAAAUCAGGUUUGUGUUUGAAAACAUGUUCAAAAGGUGAGAUGUUUUUGUUUGUACGGGAAGGCAUGCGAUUUAUAAGAUAAACAAUUGUGUCAAAAGCAAAAUGCCAAAAACAUUGCGGAACAGAGGAUUGGGCAAGAAGAGUAAGACCGGUUUCCACAACAUACAAGAGCGUUUUGUUCACUUGUAUGAGGACAAGAUAGGUGAUGGGUGAUACCGAGAGAUGAGAAAAAUUGUGAAAGAUUCCGAAAUUCACUGCCCCAAUCAGUUUGAACUGAUUUUAACUUAGUUUGGAACUGCCAUUCAACAGUAAGAAUAAAUUGUUUGAAAGUAUUAUAGACAUCAGAUUUGGCUUUUAAAGGAAAAAACCACAUAAAGCGGGAAAAAUGAUCAACACACAAUAAAAAAUAUCGAUGCCCAUCAAAUGAGGUAACGGGAGCAGGUACCCAAACAUCACAGAAAAGUAAGUCUAAAAUAUGAGAGCUUUUAUAAGUAGCGGAUGACAAAUGAAGUUUAGAGGAUUUGCCAAUAGAACAUGAAGUAGAAGUUGAAGUAACAUGUUUAUCUAGUAAAGGUAAACUAUAUUUAGAAAUCAUUGACUGCAACAACUGCUGGUGAGGUUGUCCAAGGCGUUGAUGCCAAGUGAUCGAAGAAGCACGAGUGGCAAAGAAAGCAACUUUGGUGGAAGUUGUUGGGUUAAUCGUUUAUUUACCAGGUCACGGAUACGGGUCAAUAGGUCGAUGAUCUGGUAGCUUAUUGGUCAUGGGUAACUGAUGGAGUUUACAAGCAUAUCUAUAAAUAAUAAAGAUGGAAAAUAAAAGGUGUUUACUUGUUCAUAAGUGGACCGAUUCUUGAGGGGUCUUCCCAUAUUUUACUUUUCUUUAGGAGUAAGUUUAGAACGUGGGUAUGAUAUAUUACUUAAAGAGAAGAGAUGCUAUAGCUAGAGUUGUAGUAGAUGUAGUAACUUUGUUUUUUUUUAAUAUAAUAAGAAGCUUCUCCAUUUUCUGUUGCAAGUUUAUAUUCACAUACAUACGUGCAUAGUGUGUGUUUUGUGUGUUUUUUUCAAGGACCUGUGACAACAAUUGGUAUCAUAAUGUUAGCUUAAGGAGAAAAGUGGCAGGUUCCUUUUUUUUGUCACAACUUUUGGANGGCAGCUUCCUUUUGUUAGUCACAUAACUGUGGACAGAAAGUAAACAAAGAAACUUCUCUACCCAAAUAAUUAUAACACGGAAUUGAUAGAGGGAAGUAAGGGAAAAAGGGCUAUAUAUUAUUAAUAUCAGUAGAGGCUAUAUAUAGCCUUCUUAGAUACCCAUGUGAACUACUCAACCUAAAGAUCCGGUCUAAGCUAAGGACCCGUACACUUGCACAUGAUCCGGUCAAAACUAAAUACACAUUCUAAAUAAUCUACUAUUUUCUAAACCAUAAAAUAUAAAACAAUAGAAAACUUAUUAAAUUCAAAGUUUCAGCCAUGCACAAACCAAUUAACCCAGCAAUCACCCCCUUAAUUGGUUUACUCAUAGCACUCCUUCACAGCAAUGCCGACUCUUCUUCAAUUAGAUUUGCCUCUUGCUUCUCCCACUUUGGACACUCAUUGCUAUAAUGACCAUACUCACCACAUUUGUAACAUUUAACGUGACUUUUAUCCCAGACACGUUCAUUUCCAUCUCGACUCUUCCCGGACCCCCGACCUUUUCCCUAGCCACGUCCAAAGUCAUCCCGAUUUGAACCUCCACUGCCACAAUGUUUACAACCAUGUGGUUUUUCUUGACUAGCCAAUAGCAACUUACCUUGAGUGUCUUCCGUGUUUUUAUUUCCUUUUAUUCGUUCCUCGUAAGCUUUCAACCUUCCAACAGCCUCAUCAAACAACAUAAAGUCUAGCUCGAAACAUUGUUCAAUUGUCGCCACAAUUUGGAGAAAGGACUUGGGCAUAGAAUCAAGUAACCUUUUCACCAAGUCAACUUCUUCAUGUUCAUGUCCGAGACUCCGUGCUUUCGAAGCUAAACCACUUAACUUGGCUGCAAAAUCAUCAACGGUUUCUCCCUCCUUCAUAUGCAAGCUUUCUAGUUCCCUCUUCAAAGUUGCUAAUCGAGUCGUUCUUACCCGAUCCACACCCAAAUACCAAGUUUUUAAGCCUUCCCAAACCCUUUUUGGAUCGGUGUAAUUGGACAUUUGCAACACCAUCUCUUCUGGUAUUGCUUGAAACAGGAAAGCAAAAGCUUAUUUCUUCUUCUUUAGAUCUGAUUUGUCACCCAAUACCCUCGCUUCAACGGUAUCCCAUAUGCCAUUUGCAUCCAUAAUGGAAUUCACUUUGACCGCCCAUACCGGAUAAUUUGUUGGCGUCAGAACCGGAACCUGAUAUGUCAUUGAACCACCUUCUUUUGCUGGUACCAUGGUCACUAUUUUCUUUCUUUUCACAGCCCCAAUCUCUUCCGAUCUCACCUGUUCGAGGAGCUUUUUCCACCAGUCAAGAAAAAAAAGCUUCUGCCUAUCUUGUUUUCUUUUACCUAGCAAGCAGGCCAAACCAAAAUCCCACCCGUUUUGAUUUUUUCUGCUUGUCUCUUCCGCUUCUGGUUAGGCUCCUCUAACACCGAACAGAUGGAUCAAGGAUGGAGGCUGCAAUUUUUUCAACCUGCUAACAGAAAGGAGUUACACCCCCUUCACCAGAACCGUGGGGCUUUGAUACCAAAUGUUAGUUUAAGGAGAAAAGUGGCAGCCUCCUUUUGUUAGUCACAAUGAAACUUCUCUACCCAAACAAUUAUAACAUGGAAUUGAUAGAGAGAAGUAAGGGAAAAAGGGCUAUAUAUUAUUCAUAUCAGUAGAGGCUAUAUAUAGCCUUCUUAGAUACCCAUGUGAACUACUCAACCUAAAGAUCCGGUCUAAGCUAAGGACCCGUACACUUGCACAUGAUCCGGUCAAAACUAAAUACACAUUCUAAAUAAUCUACUAUUUUCUAAACCAUAAAACAUAAAACAAUAGAAAACUUAUUAAAUUCAAAGUUUCAGCCAUGCACAAACCAAUUAACCCAACAAAAGUAGGCUGGAAUCACGGAAGAUGGAAGGAGUAAAGGCCGCAACUACUUGGACCCGUGAGGAGGGUAGUGUGAGUAAUCUCGUCCUUCACAACAAAAAAAGAAGUGUGAAAUUCAAAGUAAACAUUAUUAUCAUGGAAAAAUUUUUGAACAGAGAGAAGAUUUUGUUUGAUUUCUGGGACAUGAAGCAUUUGUGAGAGAUGAAAAGUUUUAUAUGGAGAGUAAAGCUGUGAGGAACCGAUAUGAAGAAUGGGUAAACCUUUACCGUUCUUAACAUGUAGAGUGUCAUGACCGUUGUAUGUCUCAGAAUGAUCAAAGCUGGAGAGGUUGGCUGUAACAUGAUUAGUUGAACUAGUAUCGGUGACCCAAGAAGAGGAAACCUGGGAACGGUAAUCAGCAAAAUUAGCAGAGGGUUGUUGUCUCGUACAAAUCGUUGCGGGAUCACGUUUAGGGCACUGGGAUGGAACAUGGCCAAUACCGCACUUGUUACAUGUGCCAUAAACAAUAUUUUGAUUAGAUGCCCAAGUAAACCGAGUUCGAUUACCUCCUUGUUGUCAGUUAUUAUAGUUUCCACGACCUUGGUUAUUUGUUGAGCGAUUGUUGCGAUUGCUGCCUGAUUGGUUUGUGUAGAAGGCUUGGGCUGGUGGUGAACUUGUUGGUUGAAGUUGUAACCCAAGCUGUUGUGCAAGUUGUUGAAUAGCCUGGACAGCAUCACCUUGUGACAGGGAGUGUCCGACAAGAGAGGGAUUAGGUUGUUGGGUGGCAGCAGUGAAUACUUGAGCUGGUGGCACCUCUGUAGAGGUCUUUCUGAUCAUGUAGUCGUGGUCGGAGAGAAGACCAUUAAAUUCAGCAAAGGCAGUGGCAGAGUGUUGGGCUAACAAGGUGGAUUUCAACCUAUUAUAUUCGUCUCUUAAACCUGAUAUAACAAGCAUCAUUAGGUUCUUUUCUUUUAUUGGUUCACCAAUGUUGGCUAGAGCAUUAGAGUACUCUUGUGCUCGAGUUAAAUAGGCAGAUGAAGAUUCAUCUUCCUUCAUUGAAAUUUUCAAGAGUUGGGUUUUAAGAGUAUAUUCAUGAGAGGAGGUAUGAGGAGCAGAACCACAUUCUAAAGACAGCCAAAGGUCACGAGACGUAUUUCCUUGAACAUGUUGAAAAGAGGUUUCUAAGGUGGUGGACAGAAUGAGCAUCCGAAAAUGUGCAUCAUUGGAUACCCAAGCUUUGUAACAAUGGUUGGAUGUCGAUGUGGAGGUCACUGCGUCUCCUUCUUUGCCAGAAGAUGUGGUGGAUACGAUGGUGGCUGGAGGGCACAAUAUGGUGCCAUCGACAUAACCAAACAAAUAGUUAGUGAUCAAGAAUAGUUGUAACAUGGUUUUCCAGUACCCAUAAUUGCUUGGAGUCAAAGUAAAAGCAAAUUUAUGAGAACUGUGGCUUUUUUUCUCGGUUGUAGAAAAAAUCGUGAUGUCUGCCAUUGUACUAGUUGGUCGACGAUGGGUGUAGAGGGGUUGUUAUGGCCGCUUUAGGGUUAGUGAUAAAAGCGCUCUGAUACCAAAAUAAACUUGGUGAAUAAGGAAUUGUAUUCUUAAAAAUCAUACGUAAGCAAGGAUUACAAGAAUAUAUAUAGUAAAUACAUUUACAUUAACACCCCCUGUAGAAUAUAAACUAUAUAUAUAUAUAUAUAUAUAUAUAUAUAUAUAUAUAUNNNNNNNNNNNNNNNNNNNNNNNNNNNNNNNNNNNNNNNNNNNNNNNNNNNNNNNNNNNNNNNNNNNNNNNNNNNNNNNNNNNNNNNNNNNNNNNCUCUAGUGGCAGGAAAUCAUCUACGACCCGUAGUUCGUGUAAUGCGAGAAUCAUCUUCUUAUAAAUGCCUUUGCUUCCUUACACCAUUCCAUUACCAACCAUAUCCUUACAUUGUUACCGACACUAAUAGCCUUUAACAUAUCACCAAGCGUUGUGACACGAAGUUAUGAGUCGCCCCGUUGUCAAUUAGUAUCACCACUUCGAGACCGCCCAUGUUUUCACGUAUUUUCAUAGUGUAUAGGGGCGUUUACAAUAUAUCCGAGUUUAAUUUGACUUCCUCUGCAUCCAAGUGAGCAUGAUCCUAGCUUGUAUCUAAGGAUGUUAUAAAUGAGUCGACCUACUGGCGUGCUACUUGGGAUUGGAUAGUUAAAAACUCGAAAUGAGUCGAGCCAUAACAAGCCCGAACCAGAGCUCGAUGCUAGAAUAAAUCUCAUUUAACAAACAAGCCUCAUCUUGAGCCUACACUUAAGAGUUCGUUUUAUUUCGUGGGCUUAAACAAGUUUUUUUAUAAUUUGUUUUUAUUUUUAUAUAUUUUAUUUAUUACUUAUAUAUUAAUAAAAUAUGAAAAAAUAACGAGUCGAUCCCGACCUUUAGCGAGAUUUACGGAGAAACGAGCCUUAAUGAGCCUUAACGAGCCGAUCCCAAGGUUCACAUAUGUUCUACAAGCUCGAGCUCGAGCUUUAGUAGCUUUAAAGGAGCAUGGAUCGUUGUGAAUCUCGAUUCGGCUCAACUCUUUUACAUCUCUAUGUAUCAGACUGUUCUUCCUUCCUUCCUUCCUUCCUGGUCCUCUUCUUCGUCUUAUUUUCCCAUUAGGCUAUUUAUAGGACCCGUUAGGGUAACAAUUGCCCCCUGCAAACUUGGCAUCGUAGUUUUAGCAUAACCUUUUUUCCCUUUUAGCAGCAAGUUCAACAUUCGUAAGUCUUUUGAAUGUCCAUGGCUAUGCUCCAUGCCUCCUCCAACAUUCCUAUCGUAGGUUUCCAUAGCUCCUUGGGUUUGCAUAGGCAUCAUAUUGCUUCCAAAAUCCAAUUGUGUUGCUGAUGAUCGGAAUAGCCCACGCCCUGAUCGUUCCCUCUCUCAUUGACACGGUUCUCAUUACCGCCAAUCCCAUUGUGUGGGUCAAGCCCUAGGGUUAUAUGACCCUCACCAAGUAUCUAGGUUCUGAUUUUAGCUGCUUGAUGGAAGUUCUUUCCCGAAAUUUAUAAUAUAAUCCUAUAAUACUGGAACGUCCUCUCCUUUCGGAAACGAUCAAGGAGACACCGUGUCAGUCCUCUUCAUAUGGAAACGUAUCGAAACAGUAACGUUUAGACAAUAAAAAGACAAAUCUCCCUAUUAAUUAAUAACGCUGUUUCUGAUGACGCUUAUAGACUUGUCCAAAUUUGCAAGAUGAAUCAGGUUAAUGAAGCUAAGACUCGAAACGACGAACCAGAGACAGCCUCCUGAUGAGUGUUUAUGUCUUGGGUAAUGAAAUGGAAGAUGUUAAGAGUAAACAUGACUAUGGCAUAAAAUUCUGAUCCAAAUUCAUACAAUGAGGUUUUUAAAAGGAAGAAUUGAUGAAUUGUUGUGAUGGAUGCAUGAGAUCAAGUCGACUAAGAAGACGACUAAUGGAGCUUAGUUGGGCUGCCAAAAUGAGCUAAAACUAGUGAAUCCAUACGACCAAGCUGAUGCAUAAGGCCUUAUUAGUAGCAAAAAAAGAGACUCAUAGAGGUAUGGAGUUGAUUAUUUACAAGUUGAUGUACCUCGUAUGGAAACAGUAGGAACUAAUAUGGCAUUGGAUUCUCAAAAAAGGUGGAACAUCUACCAGCUACAAGUCAAAUCUCUUUUUCUAGAUGGAAAGCUGAAUGAAGAUGUGUACCAAAGAAAACACAAGGGUUAAAAGUAAAGGCUUUAGAGAGGAAAGUGUACAAAGAACAUAAAGUUCUCUAUCGGUUCAAACAANCAUUUUGAAAUUGAUCUGCAUUUUGUCAGGGAAAAAUUGAGAAUGGAAUUUUAAAAGUAAAUAAAAUAGUAUCUUCUAAUCAAAAUGCAUAUAUUUUAACAAAGUCACUUGGUAGUGUUCAACAUGAAUACAUUGUAAAUCGACUUAAUAUGAUUGAUGUUUUUAAAAAGUAAUAAAAUAUUUUCAAAAAUUAAUGUUUAGUUUGAGGGGGCAUGUUGAAAAGAGUUAAUAAAAUAUUCAAACUUAAACAUUAAUUUGUUAGUUAUUUGGUAAAAGUGUUAUACAAUAUAUUUGUGUGGAUAUUGUGGUAAGUUGUAAUGCAGGUAAAGGAUACACGCGGAUCAAUGGGUCUAUGGGUUAUACCCGAAGUCUAGUGGGUCGAUGUAUAUAAUGUGUUAAAUGAUCUCAUUUGUAGCUACCAAUAUAUUUUCUCAUCUGUAUUUCUCAGUUUCUCUUUCAUCUUGAGUUUGGGUUUUCGUUUAGGGUUUGUUCAUAAAUCGUUGUCACACUAGAUUUGUAAUAUGAGUGUGUGAGUGAUUUUGUAGUGAGGUUUGAUUUGUUACCUAUUGAUGUAAGCCAUCUGUUUCAUAGUGAAUGAAAUGAUGAUGUUGGGAAGAUCUUGUUUCGAUUACGUUUCUUUACAUGGUAUCAGAGCUAUGGCUCCUUCGGUGUUCUUGUGACGUUCGUUGAUUUGCGAUUGUUCGUCUCACGAUCGUACUGGUAAUUUCUGAACUCCUUUCUUUAUUUGCUCUUUGAUUGACGCAGUUGUUUGUUUAAUCAUGAGUUCCUGUGAACUAUGAUCUUCUAUUUCAUCAACUGUGUUCUUCUUGAUGUUCGUUUUGAUUUAGGGUUUUCUCUGGAAAAUUAUUCUGAAGUAGCUGAGGAUAUUUAGGAAAAUCUUUUUGAAACUUACAAUAAGUCUGAUGGAUCUGUUGUUUUUAAUAUACAUCAACAAAUUAAUUCCCUUAAACAAAAUGGUACUUCUCUGUCAGAUUACUUCAAUAAGCUUGAUUCUUUAUGGAAAGAAUUUGAUGGUCUUACUAGUUUAACUGAGUGUACAUGUGAUGCUUCUAUUAAACUAAAGGAUCAUUCUAAUCUCAUGAAGCUUAUGCAGUUUUUAUAUGGACUUGAUGAUUCAUAUAGUCAAGUCAAAAGUCACAUUUUAUUAAUGGAUCCCUUACCUAAUGUGAAAACUGCUUUUUCUAUUGUGUGUAGAGAAGAAACACUUCAAAGAAAUGGUUCUUUGACUUCUCUUCAGGCUUCUCAGUCUCUAAAUAAAUCUCAGUCAUCUACUUUUAAUAGCAAGUUUAAUAACAAGACUAAUGUUAAUAAGAAUAAGGGUUAAAUUGUUCAAGUUUAAUAACAUAUGAUUGCCUCUGAGUCACUACUCCAUGACACUGUGGAUGUGUCAAAAUUAGAUUUGCUGGUUUGUCAUCCCAAUGGUACAUCAGUUAAGAUUGAAAAAAUUGGUUACAUGAAUUUAUCUAAUUCUUUAACACUAUUUGAUGUGUUUGCUGUUCCUGAUUUCAAUGUUAAUUUUCUUUCUGUUCAUAAGGUCUAUAAAGAUAGUAAUUGUGAGGUUGUUUUUAAUGAGAAUAAUUGCAAAAUUCGGGAUUUACAGUCAAAGGUGAUGGUGGGGAAUGGUAGAGAGUCUGGAGGUCUCUUUUACAUUAAUAGUGCACCUUUAGGUAGUCUGUCUAAUUCUUCUAUUUCUUCUUCUGUUUGUUGUGUGUCUAAACUAACUUGGCACAAUAGACUUGGUCAUCCUUCUGAUCAAGUUUUGAGUUCUUUGAGACAUAGACUUAAGAUUGGAAGUGAAGUUCUUCCACCUUGUGACAUUUGUCAUAAGGCUAAACAAACUAGAGAAUCUUUUCCUGUUAGUCAACAUACUACUUCUAAACUUGGUGAGUUAAUUCAUUUAGAUGUUUGGGGUCCUUAUAAAGUGACAACUACAGAAGGAUUUAGGUAUUUUUUGACUAUUGUGGAUGAUUUUACUAGGGCAACUUGGGUUUAUCUUUUAAAUUCUAAAGAUGAAGUUUAUGAUUCUGUUCUUGUUUUCUUUAAUAUUUUGAUUUAUCAGUUUAGUUUUAAAAUAAAGGCAGUACAAAGUUUUUAAAUAACAGAAUGAGACAAUUAACUGAAUCAAAAGGAAUUUUGCAUCAAACAUCUUGUGUUCAUACUCCACAACAAAAUGGUGUUGUGGAGAGGAAACACAGACACAUUUUAAAUGUUGCUUGGUCUUUAAUUUUUCAGUCUGGUUUGCCAAUUAAACACUGGGGAGAUGCCAUUUUAACUUCAGUUUUUUUGAUUAAUAGAACACCUACUUCAAUCUUAAAUGGUUCUUCUCCCUAUGAACUUGUUUAUAAUUGUGCACCUGUUUUUGAUAAACUUAGGGUAUUUGGAUGUUUGUGUUUUGUCUCUAAGUUGAAUAAUAAUGAUAAAUUUUCUGAAAGAGCUGAUAAGUGUGUUUUUCUUGGUUAUUCUUUUAAUAAAAAGGGUUACAAAGUUCUUAGUCUUGAUUCUAAUCUUAUUUUUGUUUCCAGGGAUGUAAAGUUUUAUGAGUCUGUGUUUCCUUUCAAGCUUAAAACUUCAUCUUUAACUGAUAGUUCAGUUGUCACUGUGAAUUCAAAUGACCUAUUUUCCUAUGAUGAGUCUUUAGAUUCUAGUUUUAUUCUAGAUAAUACUAGAGCAGAUAACCUGAGGAGUAGCCAUCAGAUGGAUGGUGCUAAUGCAGACCAGGACCAGGAUGAGACUUGUCCCUCUAAUGUCAGCAACCGGACUGGUGAGGCAUAUGUGCCUCCCUCUGAUGUGUUGUUUCCAAGCUCUUCUGCAUUGACUGAGGAAAAUGAUUCAAUUAAUUCUAAUCCUUCUGAAAGUUUGUCAACUAGGAUCACUAGAUCUGGAAGGAAUGUUCACAUGCCAGUUAGAUUUAGUGAUUAUGUUGUAGAGGGUACACAUAAAUAUGGUAUUGAAAGAACUGUAAAUUAUUCAGGUCUUAAUACUGAGUCUUUCUGUUUUAUUUCUAAUCUUAAUAAAACAGUUGAACCUAAGACUUAUAGUGAAGCAGCUUUAGAUCCAAAUUAGAUCAAAGNAUAUGAAGAGACGAUUAGGAAGGACUUUAGGCAGGAUUACGAAGAAACACUAGGAAUUUUAUUAUUAAAAAGGUAUCAUCUUAUAUAAAGCUAUACACAGCUCAACAGUUGUAAGCUAGAGCUCAGUUAAUGCGUAUCCGAAGUAAGUCGGUGCAGAUUUUCAUCAAACACUUGUACUGCAGUUCAAUGGCACCCAUAAAUAACAUCAAGCUUAGUUUGUGUAGCUUCUAAUGAUAAACGCCGGAUUCCAUAAAUAGGGUUUUUUUGAGUCCUUUACUUUAUUUUGUUUCCGUUUUUAUUUUUGCAUCAGAAGCUAAACUCUUGGGCUUCAGUUUCUUUUCUGUUAUGAGUCCUUUGGUUGGUCUCUCUCACCUGGUAUAUAUAGGUGUUAUCCUGCUGUACGACUUAUGAAUAAUUUUAUGAACUUCAACUAUUUCAUCAGGGUUGCCCUGUGAAAGUCUUAUAUAAGCCCUAAUUCCAUUGUUGAGCUUAACAUUAAACUGUUGCAAUACAACCCCUCCUUUUUCUAAAUUUCUUCGUGACCCACAUAUUUUAUUAUUUUGUUUUGCAUAAAUUACACGAAUGGUCCCUGUGGUUUUUGAUAAUCUACACGCUUGGUCCCUAAUGUUUUUUUUUUAACUUGGUCCAUCCCUAUAACAUGUUUUUAUUGCGCGUUUUGCCCCUGACAUACUUAAAAAUACUAUACUGCCCUUUGAUGUGAAUUAAGAGCAUUUGAUUUGGCAUGUGGAAUUAAAUGAACAAAAAAAACACUGUAGUUGAAAUGAAUUCGAGUAUGAAUUCUAAGAUCAGAGUAAAGUAAGAAUAUUACUAGAAACUAAGAAAUCAUCACACUUUAAAAACAUCAAACAUACGUUUCUGAAAUCCAUCAAACACAAGUUUUUGAAAUCCAUCAAACACAAUUUAUUAACAUAAGAUACUAAAAACUAUCAGAAGCUAUCUUUAUGGCAGAGAGAACAAGCAAUGCCAUGUCAUCCAAACUGCUUCAACAGCCUCAAACUUAGCCACUUGCUCCUGGAAGCAUAGGGUCUCGCUUAAUCAACUGAGAAAUCAAAAGGGGAAGUCAGUGAACAGUCAACAUUAUAUAUACCAGACUCAAAGAGUAAAUAAUAGUUGCAAUUGAAGUGCAUUGCAAGAAUACAAAUAAAUGAAAUUGAAGUGCAUUGCAAGAAUACAAAUAAAUGAAGGCCAAAUGUAUACUGGGUGAAGGUAAUGAGUCUGUUACACUUCUUAUUAGGCAUACGUUUCGUCCUGUCAGUUGUGGCUUAAGUAGAGCCGUGAGGGCAAUAAGGUUUUUUUACUGUUAGAUCAGUUAGGUAGGCUUAGUUGAGUGGUUAGUGUUAGUAGUUGGUAUCUUUGGUCAUAACAGAAUAUAAGUGAAUUCAGGAAGAGUUCCUAGCUUCUUGAAUGCUAGUAAACUUAAGUAUGCUCCAUGAUCAAAACUUUAAACUAUAGACAAUGUCCUUUUGCAGACCUCAUAUAUUACAAAAGAAAAUGAGAGCAUCCCAUGAGUAAACAUGAAGAUUGAGCUAUGAGGCCUAGAUCAACACAGUUUUUUAGGGAUGUACAGGAAUCAUCAUAAGCAUUAAUAAGAAUUCAGUAUCCAGAUAUAAUUCCACAGUUUGUAUUAUAUGAUAAACAAAAUGAACGCACCUUACAACUCUUCUUGCUAUUACUCUCUUGUAUCUUUCUCUUUGGCCUCCCAUUAACAUAGGGAGAUACAAGACUCUCCAUAUAGAUAGGGGCACAAAUAUAUUCCUUAGUCUUGUAGAACAGCAUAUCACGACACAAAGUUCUCUUGUUAGGAACGUAAUGUUCCUGCUCUUUCAAGCAUUGUAAAGCUAAGUUCAUAUCACAGUCCUUUUCAAACAUUUCCCAAGACAGCUUUCCAUUGUAGUUCUUCAGCAUCCAUAAGUUAUCGUUAAACCCAUCACAAGGAAAUACGCAUAAACAAUCUUCGAUAAUACCUAAAUUCAUAUUUGGGCAGCUAGCAACACCAGAUUCAUAUCGCUCAUCAUCAGGUUCGGAAAUUUUGAUAAAUUUUUCUUCAGAUAGCUGAAACGAAGCAAUGACUCUCUUCUUAUUUGGAGAUGAAGAAUCUUUCAUAAUCCAAUGAAGUGCCCCAUUGCAUAAGAUACCAAUCCUACUAUGAAAUGAAUACUUUACAUCUCCAAUUAGUUUCCAAACAUUUGAUUUCAAACUUAACACUUGAAAACACGUCCAACCAACACGUUUACGGAACCCUAAUACAACCUUGUAAUCAUCCGUAGAUGAAUCAUAGCCAAAACCCCAACAUAAAUGCUUGGUAUCAAGAAUUUGAGGCUCUUGUAGUGUUUGAACCUCUCUAGUUGAGGGAUUAGCUACUACAAGUUGAGAAGCAAAAGAAGAGAUGCAUACAAGUCCAUUGGAAGAACCAAGAAGAUGACAAUCACGAUCAUCAAAUAAUCUAUCAUCAACAUCACAAACACGCGACCCGUUGCGAUAAGAGACCCUUGACAUAACAAUCCUCCUAUCUAUAUCAUUGUUUUUGUAAUCAAUUUGGUAACUAUAGUUCAUAUGGAAUUUAAUGAAACCAGAGUCAGAGAUCAAAUUUUCCCAAGACUUACAUACACUUUUGCAUCGGAUUAGAUCGCUCACAUUCAAUCUUUUCAGUAUAUUCGGAAGGACAUCAUCGUGAAGCUCUGCCAUCGAAACCCUAGAGUCGGCAAUCCGAUAGGAAAGAAAAGGGGGGGGGG
rnacentral:lncRNA from 1 species